rnacentral:rRNA from 1 species
ACGGGUGCGUAACACGUGGGCAAUCUGCCUUAAAGUGGGGGAUAGCUCGGCGAAAGCCGAAUUAAUACCGCAUGUGAUCAGGGGAGACAUCUUCCCGAAAUCAAAGGUGGCGCAAGCUACUGCUUUUUGAGGAGCCCGCGGCCUAUCAGCUAGUUGGCGAGGUAACGGCUCACCAAGGCUUUGACGGGUAGCUGGUCUGAGAGGACGACCAGUCACACUGGAACUGAGACACGGUCCAGACACCUACGGGUGGCAGCAGUCGAGAAUUUUUCUCAAUGGGGGAAACCCUGAAGGAGCGACGCCGCGUGGAGGAUGAAGGUCUUCGGGUUGUAAACUCCUGUCAUUUGGGAACAAGUCGUACGUAGUAACUAUACGUGCGUUGAUAGUACCAGAAGAGGAAGGGACGGCUAACUCUGUGCCAGCAGCCGCGGUAAUACAGAGGUCUCAAGCGUUGUUCGGAUUCAUUGGGCGUAAAGGGUGUGUAGGUGGCGCCGUAAGUCGGGUGUGAAAUUUCGGAGCUUAACUCCGAAACUGCAUUCGAUACUGCGGUGCUUGAGGACUGGAGAGGAGACUGGAAUU